rnacentral:miRNA from 1 species
UUUGAAAAACUCAGUGCGCACC